CUCAGGGACAGUGAUCAGAGGAGAAGAGCGAGUAGAAGAAAUUGAAAGAAAGGCAAAAGAAAGCAGUCUAAAUGGACUAGGCCCGACCUGCUUCGAUUCAACACGCGUGUGAAGUUAAGAGAGGUAGAUAGAACAGAACAGAGGAAAAACAGUGGAGAGAAGACAAAGAAACAGAGAUGGCUCAAAGAUUGACACCAAGAAAAUCGUUCUUCGGUGCUCUGAUGUUUCUUGUCUUCCCACAUACAGGGAUAUCAAACAAAGAGAUAUCCAUUUCUCAAACAAACGAGGAAGCAGCCAUCAUCCUGACCUGUCACCUGUCUGGGAAUAUGACAGUCAUUCAGACAAGCUGGGUGAUGAGCCCUAAUAGAACUAAUGUAGGCACCUUCCACCCCGUGUACGGCACCCAUGUCCUCCCACAGUACACGGAACACGUGGAGAUCCUCAGUGAUCCUCCCAACUCCCAUAGGAGCUCCUUGAGGCUGAAGAACGGGGCGAUGAAUGGACCAAUCUCUUCUGCUGUGUGUUCACCACCUUCCCCUCAGGCACGCUGGACUGCUGUACAGACAUCAACCACAACACCACCCAAGCACUGACGCAAGAGAAAACUACAGGGGAUGACCACAGGUUUGUGAGCCGUUGGGCAUUACUGACUGGAGGCAGCAUCCUCUCUCUCAUCAUUUUGAGCAUGUCCAUAUUUUUUUGCUGGAGGAACAACGUCAGAAGG
ensembl:lncRNA